rnacentral:ncRNA from 1 species
UUUAGUUAGAGUUUGAUCCUAGCUCAGGAUGAACGCUGGCGGCGUGGAUAAGGCAUGCAAGUCGAACGAAUCAGUCCCAUGAAUGGAUGAAAGAAGUUUUGCGUAGCAAUACAAGAGACGGAUGGAUUUCUGGAUUGGGGUUUCUGAUUAGUGGCGAACGAGGUAGUAAUACAUAGGAACUUCCCCUUUAGUCGUGAAUAAUCCGGCGAAAGCCGGACUAAUACACGAUGGUAUCCGACCUCGGUCGGAUUAAAGUUUUAACGCUAAAGGAAAGGCCUGUGCGAUAUCAGCUAGUUGGUAAGGUAAUGGCUUACCAAGGCGAUGACGUCUAGGGGCGCUGAGAGGCGGACCCCCACCGAUGGUACUGAGACCAACUGAUCUCCUUGGGGAGUAAUCCCCAAGUAAAAUCCAACUCAUAACGGUGAAGUCUUUUGGGGGAUGUGAUAUAAUAUCCCCAUGAU